ACACAGCACAUAAAGAAGAACAAGAAGAAAAACAAAUUACAAAUUCAAAUCAAAGAGAAGUAAGAGAAGCAAUGGCAGGUUCUAACUGUGGAUGUGGCUCCGCUUGCAAAUGUGGUGACUCUUGCAGGUAACCCUUUAUUCUACCUUCUUUACCUUUACUUGCAUAUACGCAUGUGGUUGCUUUCUCCUUAAUUUUUUUUUGGCUUAAAUUUCAUCUUAUUAAUUACUGAAAUUUCAAAUAUUUGUUUUUUGUUUUUUUGUUUGGUGAAGUUGCGAGAAGAACUACAACACGGAGUGCGACAACUGCAGCUGUGGAUCAAACUGCAGCUGUGGGUCAAACUGUAGCUGUUGAAGGGAUUGUGGUGCAUAUCACAUAUUUGCAGGAAAACUGGGGGAAAAAAUUGUGUUUGAUGUUAAGAGAUUUGUGUGUGUUUGAAUAAUGACUUGGCAUGGUGUUGCGUAAUAACUCUCUUAACCUUGACUUUUUCCUGCUUUGUAUUUUUCUAUGUGUUGAAUGGUGUGAUUGUGUAAUGUUUUAAUUUGUAACCUAAGAACAAAAAAAAAGAAUAUAUAUUGACUAUUGUGAUUAUUAAGAUUUGUCUAUAUCUCCUCUCUCCAUAGUAGAGUAUAGGGUAGGGUUACUCAGCUAAAUGACCCAUGUAAAGUUGUUUAUUUUUAGAUAAAUGACCAAAUGGUAAAGAUACUGUA
rnacentral:lncRNA from 1 species